rfam:Brachypodium distachyon strain Bd21 chromosome 4, whole genome shotgun sequence.
GUUCUACUCCCUCUGUCCAACAAAAAAUGUCCCAAGUUUGUCGAAUGUAUGUAGACAUGGCUUUGUGUAUAGAUACAUUCAAAUUUAGUCAAAGUUGAGACAUCUUUUGUUGGACAGAGAAAUACAAU